rnacentral:lncRNA from 1 species
AUCAGCAAUACUGCCACCACGGCCAUGAUGAUACCCAUUGUGGAGGCCAUGCUGGAGCAAAUGGUAGCCACAAAUGUAGCGGUGGAUGCCAGCCAGAGGACAAUGGAACUGUUGGACAAGAACAAGGCCAGCGAAUUGCCAGGUGCACCCUGGCUUAGAUUUUGCAGCCAUGGCCUUCUCUACUGUUGCCAGAUGCUAUGGCUUCCUCCUCUCUCCCACUCUCCCCAUGCCAUUCCUUAAAUAUGCAUAGAAGGAAAAUAUAAUGAAAUAGUUUUGUUAGUAUUAGUAUUAGUUAUUACAUAAAGCAGAUUCUUUACUC